rnacentral:rRNA from 1 species
AUUCAGAAGCAAACGGGUGAGUAACGCGUGGAUGAUCUACCUAUGAGAUGGGGAUAACUAUUAGAAAUAGUAGCUAAUACCGAAUAAGGUCAGUUAAUUUGUUAAUUGAUGAAAGGAAGCCUUUAAAGCUUCGCUUGUAGAUGAGUCUGCGUCUUAUUAGCUAGUUGGUAGGGUAAAUGCCUACCAAGGCAAUGAUAAGUAACCGGCCUGAGAGGGUGAACGGUCACACUGGAACUGAGAUACGGUCCAGACUCCUACGGGAGGCAGCAGCUAAGAAUCUUCCGCAAUGGGCGAAAGCCUGACGGAGCGACACUGCGUGAAUGAAGAAGGUCGAAAGAUUGUAAAAUUCUUUUAUAAAUGAGGAAUAAGCUUUGUAGGAAAUGACAAAGUGAUGACGUUAAUUUAUGAAUAAGCCCCGGCUAAUUACGUGCCAGCAGCCGCGGUAAUACGUAAGGGGCGGUUUUUUGU